rnacentral:rRNA from 2 species
UAAUACUGCAAGUCGAGCGAACUGAUUAGAAGCUUGCUUCUAUGACGUUAGCGGCGGACGGGUGAGUAACACGUGGGCAACCUGCCUGUAAGACUGGGAUAACUUCGGGAAACCGAAGCUAAUACCGGAUAGGAUCUUCUCCUUCAUGGGAGAUGAUUGAAAGAUGGUUUCGGCUAUCACUUACAGAUGGGCCCGCGGUGCAUUAGCUAGUUGGUGAGGUAACGGCUCACCAAGGCAACGAUGCAUAGCCGACCUGAGAGGGUGAUCGGCCACACUGGGACUGAGACACGGCCCAGACUCCUACGGGAGGCAGCAGUAGGGAAUCUUCCGCAAUGGACGAAAGUCUGACGGAGCAACGCCGCGUGAGUGAUGAAGGCUUUCGGGUCGUAAAACUCUGUUGUUAGGGAAGAACAAGUACGAGAGUAACUGCUCGUACCUUGACGGUACCUAACCAGAAAGCCACGGCUAACUACGUGCCAGCAGCCGCGGUAAUACGUAGGUGGCAAGCGUUAUCCGGAAUUAUUGGGCGUAAAGCGCGCGCAGGCGGUUUCUUAAGUCUGAUGUGAAAGCCCACGGCUCAACCGUGGAGGGUCAUUGGAAACUGGGGAACUUGAGUGCAGAAGAGAAAAGCGGAAUUCCACGUGUAGCGGUGAAAUGCGUAGAGAUGUGGAGGAACACCAGUGGCGAAGGCGGCUUUUUGGUCUGUAACUGACGCUGAGGCGCGAAAGCGUGGGGAGCAAACAGGAUUAGAUACCCCGGUAGUCCACGCCGUAAACGAUGAGUGCUAAGUGUUAGAGGGUUUCCGCCCUUUAGUGUUGCAGCUAACGCAUUAAGCACUCCGCCUGGGGAGUACGGUCGCAAGACUGAAACUCACAGGAAUUGACGGCGGGCCCGCACAAGCGGUGGAGCAUGGGGGUUCAAUUCUAAGCUACCUCNNAGAACCUUACCAGGCCCGGACACCCCCCGACAACCC